GCGACUUGGCCUCUAGAGAACAGAGAAAACACCUCAUUCAUACUGUAUCUUCCGUCUUCAAUGGCAAGCUCGACAUCCUUGUGAACAACGCUGCAAUUAGUAGGAUGGGGAAAUCAAGUGUUU